rnacentral:lncRNA from 1 species
GAUUCUUUUGAGCCUAGUAAAGUAUGCUGUAACAUCAUUUGUUCCUUGCAAAAUGUUGUUAAGUUCUCUUUGCAGCUGGAACAGCUUUGCACCAUCAGCCUGGCCAUAUCUUUAUUCCAUCUCAGCCCAAAGUUCUUUAGCUGUCUCAGAGUAAAUGACACUCUCUGCUAUAUCCUUGCUUAAGGAGUUUAACAGUCAAGCAAUGACCAUGUCAUUGCAUCUCCUCCACUGUGCAAACAGAGGUGAGUUCUCAACUGGUUUUUGCAUGAACCAUUGAUGAAUCCUAGUUUGUUUUUAGCAGAAAGAGAGAUUAAUACCCCCUUCUCCAAUUUUCAUAACUAGUUCCAUCAAAACUGACAUUAAUAAGGUUUAUUCCAGGAGAAUCAGAAGAGUUAAGAAAAUAUGGAUGAGUUCCAUCCACAAGAUUUGAAGCUACUACUAUGGUGUUCCUAACAACAGCAUCAAGGAUAGUCCCGGGCGUGACUUCUCCAGAUGAAAUACCAGAUUCUGAAGCAACAGCCAUAGCAAGGAAAUGAUGGAAUAGAAGAGAUGAAAGGGGGAAAAAAGGAGGAAAACAACAAAAGAUAGAGAAAUAAGAUCAUUAAAUUAGAGCACUUGCUCCUGAUACCAUGAAAGCAAUAGGAAUAUUUUGCAUUCUUUUGAAACGUUUUUUUUUACAUUGUAUAUGUACCCCUACUUAUACAAAAGGGGAAAAACUAAAAGACAGAGACCUAUAACCAAUUCUGUACAAUGGACACUUAUAUUUUGUACAAUUAGACAACUAUAUAGUGAGACAAAAUUAGAGGAAGAAUGGUACUAUCCUAAUCAGGA